CUAAUAAUACCACUAAUCCUCAUACAUCCCAUAUACCAUUCAUAUUCUAUUAAUCAUAUCUACCUUAAUUGCAUCACUUUCAGAACUGCUUACCUCCCUUGCAUGCAAUCUUUUCACUCGGGUACUAUUAGAUCCAACACCAUUUGGAAAUCGGUGUUGAUUCAAAGUCAGUGAACAGCAAUGACAAAACCGGUGUUUUAUGGAGACAUUUGGAACCUAUCCCUGGAGCAUCAGAUACUGUUAAAAAGUUGAAGAAACUGGGAAAGAAUGUGUUAUUUGUAACCAAUAAUAGUACCAAAUCUAGAAAAGAUUAUUGUAUUAAAUUCUCACAGUUAGGUUUUGAAGUAAAAGAGAGUGAAAUCAUCAGUACAGCUUAUGUUGCAGCAUUGUACCUUCAUGAAUGCAACUUCAAAGGCAAAGUUUAUCUUGUUGGCUCUAAAGGUAUAGCUGAUGAACUUGAUAAUUUUGGCAUUCAGCAUACAGAAGUUGGGGUGAGUAUCUUGCUGUGAGAUAGUGAUGAUAAUAGUGGCUUGUAGGAAGAGUUUAUGCUACAUCACCAACUGUUCACUGAUAAGUGUUCUUCUUAUUGAUGGUGAUUCUGUUGUUUUCAUUUAGCUCAGGAAUAACAUUUUUCAGUAGACCUAUAAUCAAAGGUGUUCUAGCUGUGGCUACCUUUUAUUCAGACAUAAA